CAGGGCUUCUGCAAGAAUAGUUCCUUCUAAGAAUUACUUGGGAUUUGCAGAAAAUGCCACUGAUUUAGAAGCUGAGUAGUAGAAUUAAGGUGUAUUUGAGGUCAUAGCUACUUGAAAAGUUUGAAUUUUAAUAUGAAGCCAUGGAAGUUGUAAAGCCAAGCAAUCAUUUGACAUGAAUAAUAAUAUUCACAUUAGAGAGUAUAUAUGCACAUUGAAUUUUUAUGUUGUUAGGAUACUUUUUAAGCUUUAGAAAUAAGAGUGUUAGACCAAAUUAAAGUGAAGGGGUGAGCUGGCUGUUUUCCACUUGGGGUAGUCAUGUAUUAUUAAAUCUUCUCCUAGGAGAGCCAAAACUGAUUAACUGUUCCCUUAGGUGUUUAAGGAGAAAAUCAAUAGGCCUAGAAUUCUCACACACACACACACACACACACACACACACACACACACACACACACGAGAAAGAGAGAGAGAGAGAGAGAGAGAGAGAGAGAGAGAGAGAGAGUUUUAAGCUAUACAAAAGUAUGACAUUAAGACAUUGAUCUUGAAGUGAUGACUGGAGGCAGUAGAAACUGUAUCAUAGAUGUGUUCCAAGAACCAGGGGAAAUGAUCGAGUGCCAGUGUCUGACUCUGAGAGGGGGCAGGGACAGAUGCUGUGUCCUUCUACUGGAUACCAACUUGAAGACAUUCCUGUGGCCCACAGGCAGUGACUCCAGAAUCCCCCACUAGGGCUCUGCAGAUCAUUCCUUCCAGAAUAGAGUGUAAAGGGAGAAGCCAUAUUACCUUCAGAGCCCAAGGUGUGGUUUCCUGCCCUGGCUUCUCAGCUAUAGGUGACAGAGAUUGCACUGGAGUAUGCUAAACAGCUAAGCACUUGUCCACAGACCAGGAUCUAAAGGAUGAAAAUGGGCGGGAACCCAGAUAUAAUGCACUUUUGUAGGGGAGAGUUCAGCUCUAACUGGUAGUAGUGUGAAAGUAAGCACCUUGACUUCAAUUUGGAAAGCACUGGUAAAUGGAGAGAACUUUGGAGUUUCCCUAUCAUCUAUAUCAGUCUUUGAACACACCCUCAAGUCCCAGCCUCAAGGCUCAAUAAAGGACCACAUAGCAGGUCUGAGGCUCACUGCUCUCAGCCCUUAACACAGGGCAGUGGAGAGCAGGGUGAUCUUCCCUCUCUGGAGCUUCUCCUUGGCCUUCUUCUCCACUUGGGCUUCUGCUCAGCAGCAGAUAUAUUCUGGGUUCCAUAAGGAAUCCAGCUGUCCCAGUGGCUUGACCCUGUCAAGGCAAGAUAUCAACUCUGAGGAUGACCCAGUCAUGGAGGAAGAGAGUGUGACAAGAUCCGCAGUUUGAAGCAAAACUGUGUUUGGUCUUUUCAAGAAACAAAUGGGCACAUUGAGUUCUGUUCAGUGUCAGAGGAUAUCUUUCCCUUUGCUCCCAGAUUUCCAGAAAUGGAUAAUGUUUUCAUUUCUGUGGGAAGGGUCAAGAAACAUAAAAUUGCUCAACAAUGCUUGCUUCCCUUGAGGGUUGUUGAGCAAAGGCCGAUAUGCCUCCCUGCAUUCUCUUCUACCUCAAGAUUUUGGAAUUCAAUUCUGGAACAGAAAUUUAUUUACACAAGAACCCUUGUUGUCAGCCUUGGUUACUGUGGGAGUUACAUAAGGGUGACAGUCUGUAUCUUCUAAGAUAAACAGGAACUGGGCUUUGGCGGCCUAUUGACCAGUUUAUAUCUAAAUAUAAACUGUGGCUCCAAAUGAUUGGCAAUAACAUUCCUUUACCUUCAAAGUUUUCUCCAUCAGUCAUUUCUGUGGCAGCACAGUUCCAAUGUCAUAUGCCCCUGCAAAUUGUGAAAGUAAUUAGUGACAAAAUAACCCUCCCCCCUUUCAGUGGCCAAACUGUCAGCUGUAGCAGAGCUGCGAAAGCGAGUACUACACUAUGUACGGAAAGCCUGUUCCUUAUCACGGACUAGACUCAAGAAAUGCCAUCUCCGAACGGUGGCAUUCAAGGUGGUAGUCGUUUGAAUGGAACAGUCAUCUAUGUGGACAUUGUUAAAGUGUUUUAAAGAAUAUUUUGAAAAUUAAGUUUACAUUUUACAACUGCUUUAUUUUUAUUGAAACAAUUGUAUAUAAAUAUUACCCUCUUUCACUGUUAAUUAAAGUAAACCUAGACCUUGUAGACAAGUGGGUCAACUGAUAUGUAUAGAAGCUGUGAUGUAGACAAUACCUUUCUCUUGUGUAAAUGGUCAUAAAUAUAGCUGUUCCUGUGUUUUUAUAAGUUGAGGGUAUUUUGUUGUUUUAUAACAACAAAAUUUAUUGCAUUUGAAAUGGUUUUUAUGUAAUAGAAUCAUGCAAACAGUGAAGGAUUAUAACAUGGUAUAUGUAAAUGUAUAAACUUUAGAAAGAAAUAAAUACAACAAAUUUCAAUCGUU
rnacentral:lncRNA from 1 species